rnacentral:rRNA from 1 species
UACGUAGGGUGCGAGCGUUAAUCGGAAUUACUGGGCGUAAAGCGUAUGCAGGCGGAUCGUUAAGUCGGGGGUGAAAUCCCGAGGCUCAACCUCGGAACUGCCUUCGAUACUGGCGACCUUCGAGUCCGGGAGAGGUGAGUGGAACUCCGAGUGUAGAGGUGAAAUUCGUAGAUAUUGGGAGGAACACCAGUGGCGAAGGCGGCUCACUGGCCCGGUACUGACGCUGAGGUGCGAAAGCGUGGGGAGCAAACAGG